rnacentral:rRNA from 1 species
CCUACGGGAGGCAGCAGUGGGGAAUAUUGCACAAUGGGGGAAACCCUGAUGCAGCAACGCCGCGUGAAGGAAGACGGUUUUCGGAUUGUAAACUUCUGUUCUUAGGGAAGAAGAAUGACGGUAGCGAAGGAGCAAGCCACGGCUAACUACGUGCCAGCAGCCGCGGUAAUACGGAGGGUGCAAGCGUUACUCGGAAUCACUGGGCGGAAAGAGCGCGUAGGCGGGAUAGCAAGUCAGAUGUGAAAUCCUAUGGCUUAACCAUAGAACUGCAUUUGAAACUUUUAUUCUAGAGUAUGGGAGAGGUCGUUGGAAUUCUUGGUGUCGUGGUCAAAUCCGUAGAGAUCAAGCGGACUACUCAUUGCGAAGGCGACCUGCUAGAACAUACCUGACGCUGAUGCGCG